rnacentral:rRNA from 1 species
CCCUUAGAUGUCCUGGGCCGCACGCGCGCUACACUGAUGCAUUCAACGAGUUUUACCUUGGCCGAGAGGCCUGGGCAAUCUUUUAAACCUGCAUCGUGAUAGGGAUAGAUUAUUGCAAUUAUUAAUCUUGAACGAGGAAUUCCUAGUAAACGCAAGUCAUCAGCUUGCAUUGAUUACGUCCCUGCCCUUUGUACACACCGCCCGUCGCACCUACCGAUUGAAUGGUCCGGUGAAAUCUUGGGAUUUUGUUUUGUUUGCAUUUAUUUGUAUCGAGACGAGAGAACUUGAGUAAACCUUACCAUUUAGAGGAAGGUGAAGUCGUAACA